AUUGAACGCUGGCGGAAUGCUUUACACAUGCAAGUCGAACGGCAGCACGGGGCAACCUGGUGGCGAGUGGCGAACGGGUGAGUAAUACAUCGGAACGUGCCCAAUCGUGGGGGAUAACGUAGCGAAAGUUACGCUAAUACCGCAUACGAUCUACGGAUGAAAGCGGGGGAUCGCAAGACCUCGCGCGAAUGGAGCGGCCGAUGUCAGAUUAGGUAGUUGGUGGGGUAAAGGCUCACCAAGCCGACGAUCUGUAGCUGGUCUGAGAGGACGACCAGCCACACUGGGACUGAGACACGGCCCAGACUCCUACGGGAGGCAGCAGUGGGGAAUUUUGGACAAUGGGCGCAAGCCUGAUCCAGCCAUUCCGCGUGCAGGAUGAAGGCCUUCGGGUUGUAAACUGCUUUUGUACGGAGCGAAAAGGCUCUCUCUAAUACAGGGGGCUCAUGACGGUGCCGUAAGAAUAAGCACCGGCUAACUACGUGCCAGCAGCCGCGGUAAGAC
rnacentral:rRNA from 1 species